CAUUUUAUUUCACUUCUGACUGAGAUGGUUAGGCACUGUUUCUUGGGAGAAAUGCUUUUGAGCAGAUACUAAAGGGGUAGGCAGAACUUGAGCACGUUGAGAUUAGAGGGAAGGGCAUUUGAAGGGGAAGGACCAGGAGGGAAGGUGUGAGAAGUAAGGAAUGGCUCCGUUUGGUUGAUCAUAGGAAAGAGAAAAGGGCCGUGGGAGAGAAGGAUGGGAAAUAGGGUGAGAUCGUGGAAUGCCUUGAAUUACAUGCUGAAGAGUUUAACCUUCCUCCUGUGGGAUAUAGGCAAUGGAAAACUAUGAUGGUUUUUGACCAAGAGUAUCCCAUGAACAAACUUUAAUCUGAUGAGAAUGAUCUAGCAAUGGUGCGUACGAUUUAGACGGUAUACAGUUUUCAUCCCUUAACUUCCUUUCUGCUUCUCCAAAGUGACUCACCGGCCACCACAAAGUGUUUGAACACUCCUGUCUUCAAGAGGUGGGGCUUAGUUUUCCGUCUUCUUGAGUGUGGGCUGAACGUAGCUAUUUCAUUCUAAUGAAUGGAAGAAAGCAGGGACAGGGUGAGAUUCACAGAGUAGGUCAUAAAAGGACACUGUGACUUCCAUCUUGGUCACACUGUCACUUGGGUCACUUGCUUUGGAGGAAGAUCGACACCAAGGUGUGGGCAGACCUAUGGAGAGAACCACGUGGUGAAGAACUAAGGCAUCCUACACCAGCCAAGAAAGUGAACUUGGAAGUGUGUCUCCCCCUCCCAUUCAAACCCCAGCUGACAUCUUGACUGCAGCCUUGCGAGAGACCUUCAAUCAGAAACACCAAGCUAUGCUGCUUCCCAGUUUCUGACCUAUAGAAACAAUGAGAUAAUAAAUGUGUGUCGCUUUAAGCCAAUACAUUUGGGGUAAUUUCUUAUGAAGCAAAAAUUAAUAAAUGCAAGUACCCAGAGUGAUCUUUUAAAAUCAGGUUAUGUCCCUCCUCUGUUUGAUACCCCUCAGCGGCUUCCAUUUCACCUGAAAGAAAGACAAACCAUUUUCUCACAUCUGGCGUGACGACAGAGUGGGAUCAACAAAUCCUGUCUCCCAAAGCUGGACAACACUGUCAAAAAUAGUCACUGCAGCCUUGUGCAAACUGACCGAAGGCAUUCAACAAACUGAGAAGCGUUUCUUAAUGAACAUGACCAAGCUUCAGGCAAGAACACCGUGAAUCUCUGACAUUUUUGCCCACGUGUGCUCCUACGCUUGAAAGCAACAAGGGGAAUACGAUUCACGACUGACUUCUCUUUAGAAAUAAUGGAGACCAAAGGCAGCAGAAUGACAUACUUGAAAUGCUGACAUAAGACACACUGUCAAGCAAGAAUUCUCAGUCUAGCAAAUAUAAAAAAUGAAGAUGAAAUAUAUGCAUUUUCAGAUAAACAAAGACUGAAGAAUUUGUUGCUAGCAGACCUGCCUUACGAGAAAUACUAAAGGAAGUUUUUCGAGCUGAAAUCGAUGCUAGGCAGUGAUUUGAAUUCACAAGAAGAAAUGAAGAAUACCAGAAAUGGUGACCUUUAUUCACGCUUCAGACCUCAACGCAUACAUCAUUCCCCUGGAGUAGCCCUCCUGAUUCGCCAGAAGAAGGCUAAGACAUGGUACCAUUUUGCAACAACAGGAGAGAAGCCAAGAGAACUGUGGAGGCAUAGGCUCUGCCAUUGAUGAGCUGCUGAGAUAACACCAGGAAACACCUACCUCCGGAAUUCUUGAAGGCAGACAACUCAGCUUUCAAACGAUUUGUACUAUGUGGAUGAACUGCAGAUGGACAGCUACGAAGACCCAGGGUUGCAGUGACCUAACGCCAAGAAAUGAAAACUCUAGAAAACUAGCCCUUCACGUAUACAAGACAUGAACACCCUGAGGGCAGGGGCCACAGGGCAAACGUUUCACUGAGUCCUUUAAUCUGACCUGCGGUUAGAAAUCAGCAGUCACGAAGGUAGCCAACUUUCGAGGGAACUUGGCAACAGUGGAGGAGGGCCCGUGAGGCUCCAGCCCAAACCUUGGGAGCUCCGGUAUGAAGUCAGCAUGCUGGUAAGAGGACGACUCUGGAAUGUCAAAGUCCGGCCUGAGCAAAAUGCCUACGGGGUGUCCUGGUCUGCAGAGGGCAGAAAGAAAGCUCUGCUGAGCCGAAAAGGAGCCUAGAUGAAAAAGCUUUCGUUGGUCCAUCUCACCAGCCACACAAAGGCCCUGGGUCCCCAUCCUCCAGCAAGAUGAUGCCAGAUGGCUGACGGACAGAGAACCACCUCCAAAAGUGGACAAAUCUCCCACUUUGGGGACUGGUUCCAAUAAGGGUGCUUCUCACUGUGAUGGUUGAAGGCAUCAACCAGCUUAAAGCAGCAUUAGGUUUUUUGCUUCCUUAUCCUGAAAAGACAAAUCUCUGCCUUCUGAGUACCAGGAUAUUUUCAUAAUUGUACUCUCCGCUUCAAAAAGCCUAGCUGUGAAAGAAUCUUUCAAAGGAAGUUGAUAUAAAACUUAGUUGGGACCCAAAGACAUCUAAUCUGCAAGUUAAAUGGAUAUUCCAUGCAUUCAUAACCAUUCAAAGCAUCCUGAUGUCUAGAGAAACCUAACUGGCCCCAUCCUAUCAUGAUGUUAUUAUUAACCCGGGCCUCAGGGGGGCCCCCUAGAGCAGGGGAACUUAAAGUCAUUCCCAGCCUUAAAAGUGAAUUUCUUAAACGGUUUUCUAUUAGUUAAAUCAGUAAUUAGUCUAAAUACAUCAUUUCAGUAAUCUGCCAUGAGUCAGUUGAAUGCAAAAUGGGGGGAAAAACUGUGGGCUAACUAGGGUGAUCCCCAAGGACACAAUGUUUUAAUCUUAGAUAUAAAAUAACUUUAUAUUUCAUUUGCUUUGCACAUUAUUAAAUGUGUUAAAUAGAUGUGUAUUCCUCAACCUGGCAUAACUACAUAUCCUCUAGAUUUACUGAGCGUACAGAAGGCAGACAGGGCAACUUUGUGGAAAAAAAAAAAAAAAGAAGAAGAAAGAAGAAAACUAAAGAAUAGAACUCUACAACAAAAAUGUAGUUUCUAAAAUGGAUGCCAAAGUAGAAAAGAUAUUGAGAGAAAAAUAUAUGUGUAUUUCAGCAAAACUACAAACACACCAAAACAGGUACCAGCAGCAUGAAAACCCCAGGGGAACAAACCCAAAAAAUCACUCUACUUUAUAGUAACUGAACCUUGGCUUUACCUUCCCCCCAACACCUGAUAAUUCUGUGAAAUCAGCCAGCUGUCACUCUUUUCCUUUUAGAAACAUGACACUGAUUUGUCUUUGUUAGAAUUCAGAGGUCUGCUUGAUGGGGCCCCUAAGAAAUGUAAGUCAUCAUCA